rnacentral:rRNA from 1 species
UACAGAGGGUGCGAGCGUUAAUCGGAAUUACUGGGCGUAAAGCGUGCGUAGACGGUUAUUUAAGUCGGGUGUGAAAGCCCCGGGCUCAACCUGGGAAUUGCAUUCGAGACUGAAUAGCUAGGGUACGGUAGAGGGAAGUGGAAUUUCCGGUGUAGCGGUGAAAUGCGUAGAUAUCGGAAGGAACAUCAGUGGCGAAAGCGACUUCCUGGACCAGUACCGACGUUCAGGCACGAAAGCGUGGGGAGCAAAACAGG